ACCUGGUUGAUCCUGCCAGUAGUCAUAUGCUUGUCUCAAAGAUUAAGCCAUGCAUGUCUAAGUAUAAGCGAGUAUACUGUGAAACUGCGAAUGGCUCAUUAAAUCAGUUAUGGUUUAUUUGAUGGUACCUUACUACGUGGAUACCCGUAGUAAUUCUAGAGCUAAUACAUGCAGGAGUUCGUGCGCGGCUCGUCCGCGCGCGAUGUAUUUAUUAGAUAAGAGACCAACCCGCCUCGUGCGGUUGCGUGCCGAGUCAUAAUAACUGUUCGAAUCGCAUGGCUCUGACGCCGGCGAUGGUUCAUUCAAAUUUCUGCCCUAUCAGCUUUCGAUGGUAG
rnacentral:rRNA from 1 species